rnacentral:lncRNA from 1 species
GGAAGUCGAGUGCCACUGCCUUCCAUCCCGCUCCUCAGAGUCACCCCACACAGAACUUCUGUGUUUACCUGGUAAAGGUAGCCGUCCUCCCUGCCUGUCUUGGCAAAUCAGAGGCCCAGCUGGGGUAGAUCACUCUCCAGGCAACACCAUGUUCCCCUCAUCUAUGCAGCGACUUCGAUUUCCACUCUGAGCUGCAGGUUUCUGUCUCUGUGGGCCGGGACUCCAGGGAUGCCAGAGGCUCUGCAGUCUACCCGUCUUUUAAACUUCAACAUACUUUAACAUGAAUUCCAUGUAUAUUUUUUUUAAAAAAAACAAACUUGUAAAUAUGAAUGUUGGAAUGGAACUGUCAUCGCAAGGGUAACGGGUUUACAUGGUUUUUACACUUGCUGUGCUCACUGAGAAGAUACCGGAAGGGUGUGUUAUCGACUCUUCCCUUGCAGUGGACCACUGCAGCUGCCAUUUCAUGGACACUGACUUGUGCUGAUCCCAAGAUGCUCUAAUGUGUGAGAGUUUACACGUCUUCAUCAUAAGUUUCCAUGGUUUAGAACGCUAUUAUUUAUCAGCCAAUGUAAGAUAUUCUAAGCAAAUGUCAGAACUUUUAAAAACUGCCCUGUAGUAGAAUUAUAAACUGAUCCUACUGUCUGUAAAACUAAGGGAAUUUUUUUUCUGUUGACAUAGGAAUUACAGAGAAGCACUCCCUAGUGUCGCGUCCAUCGUGUAUUAUAUACCCUGUAAAGCGUGGCUUACAGAACUAAGACUUCAGUGUGCAGGUGAAGCUCAGGGGUUAGGUUAAAUCACUACACUCUGCCGGGACUUUUGAUAGUAACCACAAGACUGUUUUGUUCUGAGGGGAUUAAAAUUUCAUAAACUUGUUAUAAAAUCAAAGGGCUGACUAGUUCUUUCAGGGUAAUGGUUUGAAUCAUACUGUCUCUGGGGUAUUUUUAUAUUAGUCCAAUCCAGGGGAACCUGGAAGAUGACGGCUCCCAGAUUCCCCCGUGAGAGCGUCACUGUCCCUGUGGAUAGUGAGCCUGCUUGGUUUACUGUCAUGGCAGCAGUAGGUUGGUGCCUUCAAGCCCCAUCUGAAAGGCUAGAGAAGAGUACGUAAACUUACAUCUGAGGCUCGUGAGGCAAGUGAGGCAGUGAGGCCGUCUCCGCACAGUUAGGCUGAAGUAGGUUUAGGUGUGCAAAGUCAACCUGCAGAGGGGUAGUUUAUAAAACGUCUCACCACCCCCAAGUGCUGAACCAUCGAAGGUGCAGUUGGGAUAAACAGGUACAAACAUGGUUGCUAUCUUUGUAGGGAAAACCCAAGCACCCACCAGAGAACUAAGGCCCUCCACGAGGGACAGACCUGAGACUAGGUGUGUAUUUGUAUACUUGCCUUAGUGUUAGAUUUGGGGGUGAGGGGGCAGCUGUUUUUUUUGUUUUGUUUUGUUUUGUUUUGUUUUGUUUUGUUUCUGGCCAAAGGAAAAUUGGUUUCGCCAGUCACCUCGCUGAACAUUUACCUUGGUGGUUUGGGUGCUGCUAGGUGCUACCAUUCUGACAUAUCCUGUGACACAGAACAGGUGAAUGCCAUUGUAUGACACAGGGAUUGUCUGCGUCUGAGAACUACCUUUUUACAAAUGUCUGUAAAUAUCUGCCAAACGAAGACACUAGCCUCUGCGCCCGGAGGACACUGGACGUCAGUGGGGCAGUGCUGCCUGGGCAGUCACGGGGUAAAUGCUUAUUUAUGAAAAACUCAAUAAAACUCACAUUUUGGGAUUUUGUACU